CCUGACCCAACCCUUCACGACCCUGCCUCCCAAAUCCCAAUCCCAUCUCGACUCCAGCGCGCCGCCACCUCUUAUCCCGCCCCGCCGGCGCUCCGCCUCCCGUCGCCGCACGCCGUCGCCCCUCCCUCGCCGCACCGCCGGACCGCCUACCGUCAUCGCGGGCUGCCAUGGCCUACCCUGCCGCUGCGCCUACCCGUUUCUCCGCUGCCGGGCGGCUGCAGGAGGUGGCCGGCGUCGCCCCGUCAUCAAAUCCCCUAGCCGCUCGAUCUCAUCCGCCGCAUGCUGGCUGCCCAUACAGGAUUGACGCACCCUAUAUCCGGCGACCCGUGGCUACUCCUCCCAGCCCCGGAUCUGCUCUUCCGCCACCUGCGACCCACGGCUUCAAUGAUCCACGACAAGGGAUGAUGACCAACUCGGCUGCCCCCCUUCCCCGUGCAGCUGCCUCUGAGGCUGCAGCAGCCUUCGCAUGAGGCCACUACGGCGCCACCUAUGCUGUCCUAAAGUUCCGUCAGAUUCGUCAAUUUCAGUUUCAUCAGUUUUUGUCAGAUUAAGUUUCAUCAGAUUCAGAAAAUUCAGUUUCGUCAAAGUUUUAGUUGUUAGUUAAUUUCUCGCGCACGUUGGCGCUCGGCGCUCGACGUCGUCCACUUCCUCACAUAACUCGAGCCCAAGUGCGUGCAGGUUACACCAGCCUUUGAUUUAUAUAUCUACCGUCCACUGAUCAGUGACAUGAAAAGGUUGGGCGCUCUGAGCUAGAACAUAAGCCGAUUGAUGAGAUGAAUUAAAAUGCUUCUGAUUGGUUAGACCCUCAAUAUUCCAAACUGAAGUCCAAGGAAGAAGGAUCAGGAAUAGCAGAUUUCCAAUGGACGCUGGUGUUGUUGGCUGACAUCUCUGGGGCUGUACAUCAUGAUGGUUACCAAGACACGACAAUGAUCUAAAUGCUCCAGACCUGAAUGAAAUACCAUGACUACAGGCCGUUGCUGAUUUGCGUUCGAAGAGGUGCAGCAACCAGAGAGAAGCAACUGAGGUAACGCCAAUUGAAAAAAAAUACAUGAUGCACUGAUGGAUUAUCAUGUAUAUAAUGCCUGUUAUUGGAAAGAGUGAUGUUUUGCUCUGAACUUGUCGGUGUAAAUUUUUGGCAUUUUCCAUUUCUCUUCAGUGCACUGAAGAAUAGUGAAAUCUUGGCAUCCGAUUCCUUU